GGAACUCCUCACUCUAUAUUCACACAUGACUACCCAUUGUGCCUUUUCAAUAUAAAUUUAUCUUCAUCUAUAAAAUUAAUAUAUAUGUUAGUAUAAAACUCCUUAAAAGUGUUUUUCGAUUUUUACUUCACAAAAAUAACAUUUAAUCUAUCCGAUAUGUAAAAGUAUGAAGCUCCUUUUGGUAUUUCUUGAUCUUUUAGGUUCCAAAAAUAGCCUUUUCAUUUUCUCUACACGAUGUUUCCCAUAUAAACCCAGUCUCUGUUGUUAUCUGAACUCCAAUAAACGCUCAAACUGUUGAUCCCUCCUUCUUCCCUGCUUAGUGCCCACCAGAUGCUCGACAAAUUGGCUCUUCCAUCGCUGCUUGAGACCUUACAGAAACAUAAAAACAUUUGUUCCUAUCUUAUAUUCAAUUACUCGCAUAGAAGAUUACCGCCCAUGUCUGCCCAGAUUGUUUGAGUUUGUUGAUUAUGGUCUACGCUCAUUAACAUGAGCCAGCCACAGAGUUUACACCACCAAUGUUGCUACCACCUUGUGCAUUUUUGGUUUGUAUCUGUCCCUAACAUGUAGGGCCAUCUCAUUUUGGUGAUCAAUCAUACGAUAUAAACUUUCGUGCUGCCUUCAAAACGUACUGGUUCGAGUAUUUGACCGGUAUUAAAGGUUUGUAUUUGAUCCGUAAGCAAAUAAUGUCUGGGAAACUUAACAAAGGGGAGAAAUUAUUGUCCCCAAUUUGAUUGGUAGAUGCUUUCAAAUUGUUUGCCAAGUUGUUUCCCUCAUGACAGUCCUGUUGGCAAUAUUGGAAUGGCCAAAGCUUCUUCGAUCCCAGUUUCCCUCUUCUUCUUGGCCUGUAUUAUUAUACUUUCACUGAAUAAAUAGAUAUUCCUCUGUUGAUAAGGACUAUAAAGUAUGACCCAUGACUUCCCUAUGGUACUAUUGAAACAAUGUUGCUGUAUCUGACAGGAAAAAAGAAAAAAAACAAUGUUGCUGUAAUGAGCUUGAGAAUAUGCCAGACCAGGAGCCGUUGAGGAGCGAAAUAUCGUGGAUUCUUUAUUAAAUAUCAUUGGUCCCAUGUUUGGCUGGUUCAAUAGGAUUGGAGCUCAAUGUCUGGGUUUUGCUAGAGACUUGCUCUAUAGUGCUAGCAAAACGUUAACAACGGGUACACUUUGGAGAAUGAAUUGAAAUCAAGCUAUGAGACAGUCGUCCAAGGUAGGCUGGGAAGGCCAUGACAAGAUAUCUUAGCUUCAAUAACUUUAAAGGUGAAAUUCUCACGGAGCUUGCCGAUCGUCCAGGACUUCGCUAUCUCUAUCGACAAUAAAAAUGGAUGUUGGCAACAGCCACUUGGUACUCUGAGGGAGUUGACAUGGAAUUAAAGGUUGCUUUCCAGCUCUGAGAGUAUAAAACAUGUACAUCGAGGGGAAUUCACUCAAACCGGGUGUGAAACAGAUCUCCACCUGGUCCUCGAAUUUUCUGACUCGGAAUUCAUAUUUUAGUAUGAGAGUCCAAAACACUUAAUAUGGUUCCACAUCAUAUUGAUCCUUGAAGCAUUCUGACUUUCUCUCUUCUAUCUUCCUUUUCUUUCUUCGGUGCCUUCUUCUUCUUUUUUCUCUUUUUUUAAGCCGGAACAUGAUGACCUGGACUUUUGUUCUUGCAUCUCAAUUUAAUUGCACACUCCUAUAUCUGCAAAUUGGACAUCAAGACUCUUGAGUUUUCCAGUCGCGUAAGUUUACAACAACAGUUGGUAGAAUGCCUGUCAGGGAAGUACUCCGAGUGAGUUUUUCAAUCAUUUCUUGCUUUCUUUUGUCAAAGAAACCUCUUAUGCUGUACCUGCUUCAGAGGUCAAUAUAAACUUAUUUUGAAAUACCAAUAUGUAAUGCAGUUUAUCGCCCGAGCUGCGUAAAAUUAGUUUAAUUCUUUGUAUUUUGUUGAUCUAUAAAUAAUUAUUUAUAGUGUCGUGUUACUUGAA